AUUGAACGCUAGCGGGAUGCCUUACACAUGCAAGUCGAACGAGUGGCGGACGGGUGAGUAAUAUAUCGGAAAGUGCCCAGUAGCGGGGGAUAACUACUCGAAAGAGUGGCUAAUACCGCAUACUAGUGGAUGGGCCGAUAUCGGCUUAGCUAGUUGGAGGGGUAACGACUCACCAAGGCAACGAUCCGUAGCUGGUUUGAGAGGACGACCAGCCACACUGGAACUGAGACACGGCCCAGACUCCUACGGGAGGCAGCAGUGGGGAAUUUUGGACAAUGGGGGCAACCCUGAUCCAGCCAUCCCGCGUGUAUGAGAAGGCCUUCGGGUUGUAAAGUACUUUUGGCAGAGAAGCGGUAUCUGCAGAAUAAGCACCGGCUAACUACGUGCCAGCAGCCGCGGUAAUAC
rnacentral:rRNA from 1 species